rnacentral:rRNA from 1 species
UACGUAGGGUGCAAGCGUUGUCCGGAAUUAUUGGGCGUAAAGAGCUCGUAGGCGGUUUGUCGCGUCUGCUGUGAAAACGCGAGGCUCAACCUCGCGCCUGCAGUGGGUACGGGCAGACUAGAGUGCGGUAGGGGAGAUUGGAAUUCCUGGUGUAGCGGUGGAAUGCGCAGAUAUCAGGAGGAACACCGAUGGCGAAGGCAGAUCUCUGGCCGUAACUGACGCUGAGGAGCGAAAGCGUGGGGAGCGAACAGG